rnacentral:piRNA from 1 species
UGAAAACAAAUGAUUUGCUUCUGUGUGUA